rnacentral:lncRNA from 1 species
AUCCCUGGCCCCAGGAACUUCCAUAUGCCCUGGGUGCAGCCAAAAAAGAAAAAAAAAAAAGUGUGCCAGUUCUUGAAUAUUUUUAAAAGUCACAAAUAAGAUUUGAAAAGAAGGAAAAGUUAUUUAAGAGGAAUUUGUCCUUCUCUACUACUAAGGAAAGCACCCCCACAGCAAGUGACUAGUGAUCUGGGAAAGUUCCAUAAGAACUAGGACCAGCUAAGCAGCAAGGUCCCAGAGCCCUUGCCCCUGGCCUACAGGGCAACUUAUACCUUCUGGAUUUUUCUGUGGUUGAAAACUAUGGUAGUCCGGGCACCGAAACUCACUCACCCUGGAGGCCCAGGUCAAAGGCUGACCUGUGUGGAGUGCCUCAUGUCCCCUAUCUGCUCAAUAUCCCUGUCCUCCUGACGCCACCCUGCCAGCUGGAGCUGAAGUGUUAGACACAGAAGCAAGCCCUGGACCAUGCAACCCCCAGCUGGAACCCAGGAUCUGCCACUGACCAGCUCCGUGGCUGAGCCCCGUUCCCUAACCUCUGUGAGCCUUGGUUCUCUCAUCUGGAAAGUCGAAGUAUUCCUACCCCACAGUGCUGUUAUAAUAUUAUGAAUCAUAUUAGUACAUUAUUCGACAAGGAAACAAGUGAUGGUUUCUUCUUGUAACUGGCACGCACUGAACGCAUGAGCGAAGGACCACAAACAGCCUCACUCUUAUUUUUGGCUGGGUCUGUGGCAUGCGGAAGUUCCUGAGCCAGGGAUCAAACCCACACCCCACAGCAGCCACUCGUGUUGCCACAGGGACAACGCCCGGUUCUUAACCCACAAGGGAACUCCAGACAUUCUCACUUUUUACAUAUGGCUGAGAAAGACAAAGCUGCUAAGAUGUGGCCCCUGAGCCCUUCCCUUUAGCAGCCAACACAUCACUGGCAACCAAGAAACAAGCUUCCUUUCCCUCCCCACCCACCUAUGAUUUGGCUUUCUGUCUGGACGAGCCCAUCCCUGCUCUGGGAUGGCAUCAGAAAGCACCCAGUCCUGAUUGCAUGGGUCAGUAGCUGGCACAGGCAUCCUGGGAAAAGUCAUUUUUCUUUCUCUGAGGCCUCUGAUUCCUCAUCACGAAGACAGACAUGGAGGUGGUGUCACGGGUCCUUGGGCCCAGACAGGCCAUUUCAGGGACCAGGGUAGGGAGCGCUGUUCUCAGUGCAGCAAGAAGCCAAGCUCCCAGGACACACAGAGUUCUCUUCCUCUCUUCCAGCCCUGUUUGGACCCAUGGACCCUGGGGUCACAAGAGAGGUGACAGGCCCAGGCCGGGCUGGGGCUGCAUCAGACUUUGGUACGGGAAGAGGAAGGACCACACAAACAGGAACUCACCUGGAUCUGGUCUUUAGGCCCCCAGCCCAGUGGAAAGCAGUCACACUUCAGGAUAAAACACAGAGGCUGAGAGUGCACACAUGUGGGGCUUCAAUUCCGGUCUUGUCCCAUCCUAGCUGUGUGACCUUGAGCAAGUCACUGUCUCUCUGAGCCUUAGUUUCCUCAUCUGUAAAAUGGGAAUAAGACAGGUGCCAUUACCAAGAGUGGAUGUAAUAAGACCAGGCUUAGAAAACACACAGCCCAGCCUCUGGGGCACAGCAAGUGCUCACCUACCACCCACGCUGCUGCUGCUGCUCCUGCACCUUUGCGGGGGCUCUGCGCCCAGCUUCCUGUCCCCACCUGACUCUGGCCUCGCCCUGCCAGCGCUGCCUGCACAGGGUGCAAGUGCCACUCACAGGGUACACGAAACAGCGUUUGAAAGGUGAAGGCUCUGUGCUGCUCAUGGAUUUUCUAUUUAAAUUUACUGAUUCUCUAAUUAUAAUCUCAGCAAGAAAGAAAGGCGAGACCAGCAGGGGUUGUCAAAGAGCAAUUACUUGGCAAUUUUCUUGUUUCCAGUGGAAGCGAAGGGAGGUGGAGCAGCCGAGACACAGGGAGGAGCUCUCAUUCCCUACUCCUUCCCUUUCUCUGGGCUUCAAGUUCUCUGCCCUGUUGGCAGGGCUGCCUGGGAGCCCACUCAGCUUCCUCUGGGGGAGGGAGGCCAGGGGGCCGGUGCUUGGGGGAGGGAGCUGGUUGUGGGUGGGGACUUAGCCUUAGAAUGACAUCUCUCUCACAUGCCCCUUUUUCUUGAAAAGCCAAAAUUGAGUCUGCUCUCCUAUUCCUUCCUGGUUAACAGAUAACUCUACGGCACAUACCUAUUUGAUAGAUCUUUUUUUUUAAUUUCCAAAUUUCCAAAAGUAGAACAUUUACAUAGAAUUACCAGGGAGCUUGUCAAAGAUCCAGGCCCCAAAGUCCCCCCUCCAGACUUACAGACUCGCCAUCCGGGGCUGGGGGUGAGCACUACCAUCCGAAUUUAGCCAGUGGCAUGGGAGCGGCUCACAGAUGCUACAGGCUGAGAGCCCCUGGGGUGGGCUGUAAACGCCUUGAGCCCAUCCUGUUUCCACACAGCAGUGUGAUGCAAGGCUGGCCCCUAUGUCCGGACACCUGGGCAACUCAGCUCAUCACCUCUUGGGUGCCUGUGGUCACCAGCUUUGGGAGUGAGUGUCAGAUGCAGAAAAGGAUGGCAGAAGACUCGCCUUGUCCUCUGCACAAAGUGACCCAAACCACAGAGUAUCAGAUCAAGAGGCCUCUUGAGCAACGUUGGAGCCUAAGAACAAAGCUGUAAAUGUCUGGGCUUAAAAGCUUUGGAUGUGUUGCCGCAACUUUCUCAGUUGAAAGAGGGAGAUAGUGAUAGAACUAACCCCCCGGGCAGGUCCUGGAGAUGACGUAUGCACACGCACGAACGCACAUCCCCGGAGACGCACGCGCAAACGUGUGGACACGGACGCACAUGCCCGCUCACGCACGGUACGUCACCAAGUGCCCCGCAAAGACGAACUGCGAAUUAGCUGCUCGUAUACACUAAGCGCCGUGCUGAGCGCAGUAGCUGCAUGUCGUCAUUUAAUCCUCGCCACCUGGUAAGCAGAUGUCUGGCCCAUUUUGCAGAGGAGGGAGCGGAGACUCCAAGAGAUGAAGUAACUGGUGCAAGGUUAAAGAAGCCGUGAGGUUGCAGCCACUGGUUUAUUCAUAAAAUAUUGACUGCUCUGUGUGAGCCAGGCUCUAUUCUAGGCAUUGGGGGUUUUGUGGUGUGCAAGAUAGACAAGGUUCCUGGUUCCUUGGCAAUCACAGCUAUUUGGAGGAGGAUUUGGAAGCAAAAUUCGCCUGACUCCAGAGCCCACAGGUCUGACCGCCCCUGGGACUGUCUUCUUGUCAUGCGCGCAGCCCAGCCACUCCCAUCUUCUGUCCCUGUGUCUAGGUACUGGGAGUCUGGACUUGGUAGGAUUUGCCCAGAAGAGUUCUCAUCCUGGGUUGGGGGAGCAGGUUGAGGGCAGAAUACAGAAUACAGAAUACCAGGUUCAGGGUGGAGGUUGUACGGUCUCACGAACUGUGAGUAGAAUCAGCACUCAUGUCACCGUGAAAUCUCUCCACUGCUGCCCGGGAUUCCUGAAAUCGUGUUCCAAAGUCCCUUGAGGUCUCCCCAUCACUAGGAGAGAGAGCUGCUCCUCCCCUGGCCCCCUGACCUGCAUCUUCUCUGACACAGAAGGGAGGUCACCCCUGGUCGGGUGGGACGCAAGUGGCGAGUGAGAACUUGGGCUCCCUCUAGUGAGAAAGCAGGGCACCUGCAUGCUGGGCACAGAGCAGCUUCUGCAGGACUUUCUCCCCAUCAAGAUGAUGGGGUUGAGUGAGUCCUGGUCAAAAACGGCCCCUCCUGUGGCUGCCAGGGACAGCUGCAACUGCUUGGCAGAGCCGCCUGGCGUGCAGACUCUUCCGAGGUCCUUGCCCUUGACCCUGAACUUCCCCCAGCUGUACAUGCACAGAUCCCUGGGUUCUGGCCCCAUGUAACCCCCUGAAGCUUCCUUACCAUCCUCUUUGCUGCACCAAACAAGCAGCGCUUCCUCUCUUGGGCCUGUUGGGUUGAGCUUGCCCUUGGUCCCUUACCUUCACCCUCCUGCUCCCCAGCAGCUGGGGGUGGGGUUGGGGAUAAGUCCAGGCGGAGAUGGGUCCUGAGCCCUACAUGGAAGCUCAGCUCUGCCUCCAGGAAGUCACCCCAUAGUAUUUUUGGAGUCACUUAACAUCCUAAUGAUGAGCAAACUCUUGCAACCAGAUGCCUGGGCAGUGCUGAGUCAGCAGAGGGCCCAACAGCAGCGGGAUGCAGACCCUGGGCAGUGCCGCUUUGAAUGAGUCUCCUGACCUCUCAGGGCUGCAGUCUCCUUGUCUGAAAACUGAAACAAAAUGCUGAGGUCAAGAGGGACAAAUAUGGGAAAGCACUUUGGAAAGUAUAAUGCACAAACUGAUAUUAGUAUUCCUGUUAUGCUUGAAACCAGGAAAUCAGCUGAGAUGCCCUGUCCUUUAAGACUCCAGUGGCUUUUCCUGGAUGUCCCCCUGCCACCACCAUUACAUAGUGGGCCCCCUCUGCUGUCAGUCUCUCUGCUGUUAUGUAGAUGUGUGUGUGUGUGUGGGGGGGGGGACCUGCUUGUUUUCAGAGGUGCCCCCCGUCCUAUUCCAUAUCAAAUCCAUCUGAAAUGUGACUCAAUCCCUUCUCCUAAUUUUCACUUCAAAAAAGAAAAAAAGUCUAACAAGUUCUUGUGUGUAGCCAACUUCAUGGGAAGCUUGGGGAGACAGAGGGAGUUUACCUCACGGCCGUAUGGACAGCUCAAAGGCAAAUUUAGACAUCCCUUGGCUAGUCCUGAUACCCAGAGGCCAGCCUGCGUCUCCUCGUUCCUAAGCUCUUUUCAGCUCUCUGCCAUCCCAGAUUCCUACAACAGAGAGGUUUGAUCUCUCUUCAAGGUCCCAGCCCUUCCCUGAGAGGGACUCAGGUGUCAGCUGAUGGGAUAAGAACUUCCUUCUUUCCGUAGCACUGUUGUUGACUUCUGGCCUCCCCAGGCAUGUGGGUAACAGAUAGGAAAGAACCAGGGCUGGCAGGACGCUGCUGCAGGGGCCAUGUGGGCGCCACAGGGAGGGGCUCCACGCUGGGCAUUGUUCUGCCCUGUAGUUAUUUUUGACGACUCUUAGCUCCUCAAGGCGGGGCAUCAGACUCGAGCAUGGCAGAGCCUUAAUAAAGGUUGGUCCUGCUCUGACGCAGCUCCCUGCCAUGUCGGGGGCUGGACUCAUACCCUUUCCAAUCUAAGCUGAAGCCGCAGAAGCAAAGGAGUCCUGGAAACACCACCAGACUUCUUGUGUCUGCUCCUUUGUCCUCCUGCUCUGGAGCUUCUGAAGCCCAAGGACACCUGGCUCUCAGACUCUUGGCCAGACUCAGAGACAAGAGAUGUGAGUGGAGCUGGUGGGAAGGGAGGCAAGAUGCGUGGUAAUUCCAAACUCCGACAGUUCCAUGUCGGAUCAGAACACACACCCUGCAGGGGCGGCCGUGGGUCUCAGGUGCCUCAUCUGUAUAUUGGUCCACAUCCAUCAAUAACAACGAAGCAAAUGCGAAUAACGAGAGCUGCCAUUAUGAGCUGGGUCCUUACACACGUUCUUUACUGAGCGCAGCGAUCAUUUGAUGGCGGGGCAUAGCCUCCUUUCACAAGGGAGGAAUGGGGAAACUUUGUCUGCAGUCACACAGCUCAGAGGUGUAGAAACUGGGCUUUUAACCAUCACAUGGCCCCCCGUGCCUCUUAACCAGGGGGGCACUUGUACCAAUUCUCAAUAAAGACAUGAGCUUCAGAGUCCCCACUGUGGCUCAGCAGGUUAAGAACCCAGCUAGUAUCCAUGAGGAUAUGGGUUCGAUCCGUGGCCUCAGUUAAUGGGUUAAGGAUCUGAUGCUGCCCUGAGUUGUGGUGUAGGUUGCAGAUGUGGCUCAGAUCCUGUGGCUGUGGUG